rnacentral:rRNA from 1 species
AACGUAGGUGGCAAGCGUUAUCCGGAAUUACUGGGCGUAAAGGGUGUGCAGGCGGGGGAACAAGUGGGGUAUGAAAUCUCCCAGCUUAACUGGGAUAGGUUAUGCCAGACUGUUCUUCUAGAGGACGAGAGAGGGAUGCGGAAUUCCAGGUGUAGCGGUGAAAUGCGUAGAUAUCGGAAGGAACACCAGUGGCGAAGGCGACUCUUUGGCCUGUAACUGACGCUGAGGCGCGAAAGCGUGGGGAGCAAACAGG